AUUGAACGCUGGCGGCAGGCCUAACACAUGCAAGUCGAACGAGUGGCGGACGGGUGAGUAAUGUCUGGGAAACUGCCUGAUGGAGGGGGAUAACUACUGGAAACCUUAGCUAAUACCGCCUACCAUCGGAUGUGCCCUGAUGGGAUUAGCUAGGAGGUGGGGUAAAGGCUCACAUAGGCGACGAUCCCUAGCUGGUCUGAGAGGAGGACCAGCCACACUGGAACUGAGACACGGUCCAGACUCCUACGGGAGGCAGCAGUGGGGAAUAUUGCACAAUGGGCGAAAGCCUGAUGCAGCAAUGCCGCGUGUAUGAAGAAGGCCUUCGGGUUGUAAAGUACUUUCAGCGGGGAGGCGGUACCCGAAGAAGAAGCAACGGCUAACUCCGUGCCAGCAGCCGCGGUAAUUC
rnacentral:rRNA from 1 species